UGUAAGUUCCCUUGCCCCAAUGGGGUGUAAACUAGAAUGCUAGCUUCUCUCAUUCUUUGUCCAAAUUCUUCACUUCUGCUUUUCUGUAAUGUUGUAACUACUGAGUUGACAAAAAAAAGUGUUUCUCUUCCCCUUUUUCUAAACUAUGUUGGCUGUUUGAAUGGUCCCUUUUUGUGAUGAGGGGAAAGAAUAUAAUAUAAUUGGCUUUAAAGUUCCAAACCCUCACUGGUUUGAACGGUGUCAGCAUUUUUAAAAAUGUUGUAUUCUUUGGAACUUAACAUGAAUUGUGGGAUUCUGAGUACUUUAUAGGUAGAGGACAUUGUACAGUACAAGGCUAUGUCAAUAACUCAAUUUAGACAAAAAUGUAGAUAGAUCCUUAUACUGUAGACUCAAGCUUUCAUAGUAGCUCCUCUCCCUUCUUGUCUUGAAGCUUGGUCCAGUAGUAGCUCCUCUCUCUCGUCUUGAAGCUAGGUCCAGUAGUUGUUCCUCUCUCUCGUCUUGAAGCUAGGUCCAUUAAUAGCUCCUCUCUCCUUGUCUUGAAGCUAGGUCCAGUAGUUGUUCCUCUCUCUCGUCUUGAAGCUAGGUCCAUUAAUAGCUCCUCUCUCCUUGUCUUGAAGCUAGGUCCAGUAGUUGUUCCUCUCUCUCGUCUUGAAGCUAGGUCCAUUAAUAGCUCCUCUCUCCUUGUCUUGAAGCUAGGUCCAGUAGUUGUUCCUCUCUCUCGUCUUGAAGCUAG
ensembl:lncRNA